AUGGCAGAGGAGCCCCCGCCGGGGAGUAGGCCGAAGCCGCCGAUGUCGCGCAUCAUGCGUCUCUCCCUCAGGGCCGUCGACUACGUCGCCGACGCCACCCGCCGCGCCGACGGCACCGUGAACCGCCGCGUGCUCUCCCUCCUAGACCCGCGCGUCCCGGCCUUCUCCUCCCCGUGCCGCGGCGUCGCCUCACGCGACGUCGUCAUCGACCCGACCCUCCGCGUUCGCGCCCGCCUCUUCCACCCAGCGAGACCCGGCGACGCCAAGGGAGCGCCUCUCCCCGUGAUCGUGUUCUUCCACGGCGGUGGGUUCGCGUUCCUCUCCGCGGCGUCACUGGCCUACGACGCCGCGUGCCGACGCAUCGCGAGGUACGCCUCCGCGGCCGUGCUCUCCGUCGACUACCGCCGCGCCCCGGAGCACCGGUUCCCCGCGCCCUACGACGACGGCCUCGCCGCGCUCCGCUUCCUCGACGACCCGAAUAACCACCCGGCGGACGCCCCGCUCGCGACCUCCCGCUGCUUCCUCGCCGGGGACAGCGCGGGCGGCAACAUCGCGCACCACGUCGCCAGGCGCUACGCCGCGGACGUGCCUGCGUUCAAGAACGUCCGUCUCGCCGGCGUCAUCGCCAUCCAGCCCUUCUUCGGCGGCGAGGAGCGCACGCCCUCCGAGCUCCGCCUUGACGGGGCGCAGAUCGUGUCCGUCUCCCGCACCGACUGGAUGUGGCGCGCGUUCCUCCCGGACGGCGCUGACCGCACUCACGAGGCUGCGUGCUUCACCUCCCCUGGGGCAGCCGCUGGCAUGGACAGCCCGGCGUUCCCGCCGGUGCUGCUCGUCAUCGGCGGUUAUGACCCGCUGCAGGACUGGCAGAGGCGGUACUGCGAGGUGCUGAAGGACAGCGGCAAGGACGUGAGGGUGUUGGAGUACCCGGACGGCAUUCACGCGUUCUUCCUCUUCCCUGGGUUCGACGACGCGCGCAACCUCAUGACACGCAUCGCCGAGUUCGUCGGCGAGAGCGACGAUGAUGGCGGCAGCGAGUAA
rnacentral:rRNA from 1 species